CCCGCACAAGCGGUGGAGCAUGUGGUUGAAUUCGAUGCAACGCGAAGAACCUUACCUACUCUUGACAUCCAGAGAACUUUCCAGAGAUGGAUUGGUGCCUUCGGGAACUCUGAGACAAAUACUGCAUGGCUGUCGUCAGCUCGUGUUGUGAAAUGUUGGGUUAAGUCCCGCAACGAGCGCAACCCUUAUCCUUGUUUGCCAGCGAGUAAUGUCGGGAACUCCAGGGAGACUGCCGGUGAUAAACCGGAGGAAGGUGGGGACGACGUCAAGUCAUCAUGGCCCUUACGAGUAGGGCUACACACGUGCUACAAUGGCGCAUACAGAGGGCAGCAAGCUAGCGAUAGUGAGCGAAUCCCAAAAAGUGCGUCGUAGUCCGGAUUGGAGUCUGCAACUCGACUCCAUGAAGUCGGAAUCGCUAGUAAUCGUG
rnacentral:rRNA from 1 species